ensembl:lncRNA
CUGGCAAGAACAAACAGGUCUGGGACCAGGCUAACUGGCAAGAACAAACAGGUCUGGGACCAGGCUAACUGGCAAGAACAAACAGGUCUGGGACCAGGCGAACUGGCAAGAACAAACAGGUCUGGGACCAGGCCAACUGGCAACAAUCGGGUCUGGGACCAGGCCAACUGGCAACAAUCGGGUCUGGGACCAGGCCAACUGGCAACAAUCGGGUCUGGGAUCAGGCUAACUGGCUACAAACGGGUCUGGGAUCAGGCUAACUGGCUACAAACGGGUCUGGGAUCAGGCUUACUGGCUACAAAUGUGUCUGGGGCCAGGCUAACUGGCAACAAGCAGAUCUGGGACCAGGCUAACUGGCAACAAACAGAUCUGGGACCAGGCUAACUGGCAACAAUCAGAUCUGGGACAAGGCUAACUGGCUACAAACAGAUCUGGGACCAGGCUAACUGGCAACAAACAGAUCUGGGACCAGGCUAACUGGCAACAAACAGAUCUGGGACCAGGCUAACUGGCUACAAUCAGAUCUGGGACCAGGCUAACUGGCUACAAACAGGUCUGGGACCAGGCUAACUGGCUACAAACAGGUCUGGGACCAGGCUAACUGGCUACAAACAGGUCUGGGACCAGGCUAAUUUUUUUACGCUCCAGUCUAAGUCUGAGAUCAUCUUCCUUUGUAUUCCCUCCUUUCUUUUCAUUUAUUUCUAAGAAGAUUCUAUUAUCAAGUGAGACAUUUAAAAAAAAAAAAAUUUUAUUGGUUGUAGUCGUUCUUCAAUGUCCCGCCCACUGCAGUCUCAUUUUGAUUUGAUUGGUUGUAUUACGACGGAGAUGUGGUUGUCCCACCUAGCUUAUCGUAACAUGAAUGCACUAACUUGUAAAUCGCUCUGGAUAAGAAUAUCUGUUAUCAUGAUGACGUUGACAAAUGAAAUGCUAUUUCUGGGACUUCUUUCUCCUCUGCGAUAUUAAACAAGCAACUUGUCUGAGUGAAUGCAAUGUGUAAACAAUACUAAGUUAUACCGGAUCAAGAAAAAUCAUUAUUUUAGAAACUUAAAAAAAAAAAAUUAAAAUAAAGUUUGUGCGAAAUAUAACGAUAAAAUUAUAAUGACACAUUUAUUUGUAUUUAUUAAUUUUUUUGUUCUCUUUUUAAUAAAUGAAUGUCGUUUUUUAAAAUUUUAUUUAACUAGGCAAGUCAGGUAAGAACAAAUUCUUAUUUACAAUGACGGCCUACACCGGCCAAAACCGUAACCCGGACGACGCUGGACCAAUUGUGCACCGCCCUAUGGGUCUCCCAAUCACGGUCGUUAAGUAUAAAUGGUAUGUAAACUAGGUGUGGCCAUUUUGAAUGAAUAGUUGAUAUCUCCUGGAGGUUUAGUGGAAGCAAGUAGAAGUUAGGAGUUUUAUGUUUUAGCAUGGUCAUCUACUGUGUCUGAAAGAGAGAAUGAAGGUCAUUUAUCAGAUGUGCUGUUGUAAAAAAAUAAAUGUUUGAUGCUUAGA